CCCGUAGCCAUUUUGGCU
rnacentral:sRNA from 3 species